CUGUCGUCAGCUCGUGUCGUGAGAUGUUGGGUUAAGUCCCGCAACGAGCGCAACCCUUGCCAUUAGUUGUCAGCGAGUCAUGUCGGAUACUCUAAUGGGACUGCCGGUGACGAGCCGGAGGAAGGUGGGGAUGACGUCAAGUCAGCAUGGCCUUUAUGUCCAGGGCCACACACGUGCUACAAUGGACGGUACAGAGGGACGCAAGACCGCAAGGUGGAGCAAAUCCUCAAAACCGUUCUCAGUUCGGAUUGCAGGCUGCAAUUCGCCUGCAUGAAGCUGGAAUUGCUAGUAAUCGCAGAUCAGCUACGCUGCGGUGAAUACGUUCUCGGGCCUU
rnacentral:rRNA from 1 species